CUUUGAACUCUUUUCUUAUUAAUUUAUUUUUUAAAUAAUUCCUAGGAAUUUUUAUUGGUUUAUUUUUUUAAUGUGUAUUGCAUGAUUGAUUUCUUAGUAGAUGUACAUUUAUGUAUAAUAAAAACACAAACAUGCACAUACACACAUUUUAACUAUAAUUCCUAUCUGGUUUCUUUAUCCAGAAAGUUGGUGCUUAUGAUCCGGGCUUC
rnacentral:lncRNA from 1 species